rnacentral:rRNA from 1 species
UACGAAGGGGGCUAGCGUCGCUCGGAAUCACUGGGCGUAAAGCGCACGUAGGCGGAUUGCUAAGUCAGGGGUGAAAUCCUGGAGCUCAACUCCAGAACUGCCUUUGAUACUGGCGAUCUCGAGUCCGGGAGAGGUGAGUGGAACUGCGAGUGUAGAGGUGAAAUUCGUAGAUAUUCGCAAGAACACCAGUGGCGAAGGCGGCUCACUGGCCCGGUACUGACGCUGAGGUGCGAAAGCGUGGGGAGCAAACAGG